UUGUCGGUCAAUUGUUGGGAUGCACCUC
rnacentral:piRNA from 1 species